CGGGCAUGCCAGCGAGACUCUUCUCUGCACCCUGCAGGCCUGGAAGGAGUGAUUUCUACCGGGGCUGUGUUGACGAUGGAUUUGUGGAGGGCAGCGACGAUGCCGAGACCGACGGCACCGCCAGGGCCCUGAUCCAGCCAUCGCUUUGGCGACAGUGGGCUUGGGGUGGGGUCUGGGACUACCGGAUUAGGCUGCUUCCAGAUGGGUGUCUGAGGUCGCCGG
rnacentral:misc_RNA from 1 species